rnacentral:rRNA from 1 species
AUGGAGCGUGACCGAGAGGACGCCGCUCUCCGGGCUCUUGAGCUUGCCGGCAUCUGCCGCGAGACCGUCCGCGUCAUCCGCUCCAGCCGUCCGGGCUUCUCCUUCAUGGUCAGCAUGGUGAUCACGCUCUCCGUGUCCUUGCUCGCCCACGUCGCCAUCGCUCGCGCCCUCUAUAGGCUCCUCUCCGACGGUGUCGCCUCCUCCGACGCUGGCGCCGGCCUCGUCCGUUUCGCCACGAACUGGGAACUCUUCUUCCUCGAUGAGGCGGCCUGCCUCCUCGCCAUCCUCGUCCAGUCGCUCGGCUCCGCCGCCUUCUGCAUCUUCUCCGUCGCCCCGCGCUAUGGCGUAACCGACGAUCCCGACGCCCGCUCAAUCGCGCGCGACCUCCGCGCCGUCCCCGGGUUCCUCGCCAGGUACGUCGUGUCUGUGUUCCGGGGCAACUCUCUCUGCACCGCGGGCCUGGUCUGGACCGGCCCCAAGGUUGCCUGGCGCCUCGUGGCCACCUGCCUCGGCGCCUUCCUCCACCUCGUCGGCUACACCACCCUCUUCGGUGCCGCCGCCUGGAUCACGCGCCCUUACCUCCUCACCGCUGCUCCGGGUGAAGAGAGCAGCGCGCAGCUGUCGCGGGCGAUGCUGCUGCUGAUCGGCGCCGGGUACCUCGCCGGAGCGGCGGCGGCGCGCAUCGGCACGGUGUGGCGCGUCGCAUGCGUAAUGUCGGUGCUGGUCGUACAGCUUGCUUUGGGGGUGUUGGUGGUGGACAACAGGAUGGGCCUCGGCGUCUUGCACCGGGUGGCCGCGGGGGUGGUGAUGGCGGUGGCGCUGUGGGCGGCGGUGAUGGCGGGCCUGGUGGCGCAGGUGGUGGUGUUCUUCGUGUGCAAGGGCAGCAGUGACGGAGCGGGAGCGCCCAGCAACCGCGAGAGCUUCGACGGCGUGGCGGCGAACAGCGACUAA